rnacentral:rRNA from 1 species
AUUGAACGCUGGCGGAAUGCUUUACACAUGCAAGUCGAACGGCAGCACGGACUUCGGUCUGGUGGCGAGUGGCGAACGGGUGAGUAAUGUAUCGGAACAUGCCCUGUCGUGGGGGAUAACGUAGUGAAAAUUACGCUAAUACCGCAUACGAUCUAUGGAUGAAAGCGGGGGAUCGCAAGACCUCGCGCGAUUGGAGCGGCCGAUAUCAGAUUAGGUAGUUGGUGGGGUAAAGGCCCACCAAGCCAACGAUCUGUAGCUGGUCUGAGAGGACGACCAGCCACACUGGAACUGAGACACGGUCCAGACUCCUACGGGAGGCAGCAGUGGGGAAUUUUGGACAAUGGGCAAAAGCCUGAUCCAGCCAUUCCGCGUGCAGGAUGAAGGCCCUCGGGUUGUAAACUGCUUUUGUACAGAACGAAAAGGUUUCUACUAAUACUAGGAGCUCAUGACGGUACUGUAAGAAUAAGCACCGGCUAACUACGUGCCAGCCGCCGCCGUAA